rnacentral:rRNA from 1 species
UACGUAGGUGGCAAGCGUUGUCCGGAUUUACUGGGCGUAAAGGGAGCGUAGGUGGAUAUUUAAGUGGGAUGUGAAAUACUCGGGCUUAACCUGGGUGCUGCAUUCCAAACUGGAUAUCUAGAGUGCAGGAGAGGAAAGGAGAAUUCCUAGUGUAGCGGUGAAAUGCGUAGAGAUUAGGAAGAAUACCAGUGGCGAAGGCGCCUUUCUGGACUGUAACUGACACUGAGGCUCGAAAAGCGUGGGGAGCAAACAGG